rnacentral:rRNA from 1 species
CACAUUGGAACUGAGACACGGUCCAAACGCCUACGGGAGGCAGCAGUGGGGAAUAUUGCACAAUGGGCGAAAGCCGAGUGCAGCAACGCCGGGUGAGUGAUGAAAGCGUUGGGGUAGUCAAACUCUGGCCUCAAGGAAGAUAAUGACGGGAGUGGAGGGGGCAGCACCGGCUAACUACGUGCCAGCAGCCGCGGUAUGACGUAGGGGGCUAGCGUUAUCCGGAUUUACUGGGCGUAAAGGUUGCGUAGGCGGUCUUUCAAGUCAGGAGUGAAAGGCUACGGCUCAACCGUAGUAAGCUCUUGAAACUGGGAGACUUGAGUGCAGGAGAGGAGAGUGGAAUUCCUAGUGUAGCGGUGAAAUGCGUAGAUAUUAGGAGGAACACCAGUUGCGAAGGCGGCUCUCUGGACUGUAACUGACGCUGAGGCACGAAAGCGUGGGGAGCAAACAGGAUUAGAUACCCUGGUAGUCCACGCUGUAAACGAUGAGUACUAGGUGUCGGGGGUUACCCCC